rnacentral:rRNA from 1 species
GUAGGUGGCAAGCGUUGUCCGGAAUUAUCGGGCGUAAAGCGCGCGCAGGCGGUUCUUUAAGUCUGAUGUGAAAGCCCACGGCUCAACCGUGGAGGGUCAUUGGAAACUGGAGAACUUGAGUACAGAAGAGGAAAGCGGAAUUCCACGUGUAGCGGUGAAAUGCGUAGAGAUGUGGAGGAACACCAGUGGCGAAGGCGGCUUUCUGGUCUGUAACUGACGCUGAGGCGCGAAAGCGUGGGGAGCAAGCAGGAUUAGAUACCCUGGUAGUCCACGCCGUAAACGAUGAGUGCUAAGUGUUAGGGGGUUUCCGCCCCCCUUAGUGCUGCAGCUAACGCAUUAAGCACUCCGCCUGGGAGUACGGCCGCAAGGCUG